rnacentral:rRNA from 1 species
CAGUAGCCGCGGUAAUACAGAGGGUGCGAGCGUUAAUCGGAUUUACUGGGCGUAAAGCGUGCGUAGGUGGUUUGUUAAGUUGGAUGUGAAAUCCCCGGGCUCAACCUGGGAACUGCAUCCAAAACUGGCAAGCUAGAGUAUGGUAGAGGGUGGUGGAAUUUCCUGUGUAGCGGUGAAAUGCGUAGAUAUAGGAAGGAACAUCAGUGGCGAAGGCGACCACCUGGACUGAUACUGACACUGAGGUGCGAAAGCGUGGGGAGCAAACAGGAUUAGAUACCCGGGUAGUCCCUGUCUCUUAUAA